rnacentral:rRNA from 1 species
GUGCGUAAUAGCUCACUGAUCAAGCGCUUUUGCGCCGAAAAUGACCGGAACUAAGCUUUUUGCCGAAGCUGUGGCUACAGCACAUUGCUGCUGUAGGGUAGAGGAGCGUUCCGCCCAGGGGGAAGCCAAGUGCGUAAGCCGCGGUGGACAGGGCGGAAGUGAGAAUGUCAGCUUGAGUAACGUAAACACUGGUGAGAAUCCAGUGCCCCGAAAACUCAAGGGUUCCUGCGGAAGGCUCGUCCGCGCAGGGUCAGUCAGGACCUAAGGUGAGGCCGAAAGGCGUAAUUGAUGGCAAGAAGGUUUAUAUUCCUUCACUAGUCUAGGCUUAGUCCUGAGGGACGAACAAAUGACACCAGGCACACCGUCCACGCAUGGCAGCAUGGACAUACACGGUGUGGGUUGCUGUUCUUUGUUCCAAGAAAAGCUCAUUCGACUUCGAGUCUAGACUACCUGUACCGUAAACCGACACAGGUGAGUGGGUUGAAUAAACUAAGGGGAGCGAGAUAACUCUCUCUAAGGAACUCGGCAAAUUGGCUCUGUACCUUCGGAAGAAAGAGUGCCCCUCGCACAGGCGGGGGGCCACAGUGAAGAGAUCCAGGCGACUGUUUACCAAAAACACAGGUCUCCGCAAAGUCGUAAGACGACGUAUGGGGGCUGACACCUGCCCAGUGCCAGAAGGUUAAAGAAGUUGGUCAAUCUUUGAUGAAGCUAACAACUGAAGCCCUGGUGAACGGCGGCAGUAACUAUAACUGUCCUAAGGUAGCGAAAUUCCUUGUCGGGUAAGUUCCGACCCGCACGAAAGGUGUAACGAUCUGGAUACUGUCUCAGAGAGAGACUCGGUGAAAUAAAACUAUCUGUGAAGAUGCGGAUUACCUGCACACGGACAGAAAGACCCUAUGAAGCUUUACUGUAACCUGGAAUUGCUCUCAAGCUUAUCUUGCGCAGCUUAGGUGGGAGGCUAUGAACCUUUUCUUCCGGAAAGAGGGGAGCCAUCAGUGAGAUACCACUCUUGGUAAGCUGGAGCGCUCAGUCUUCACCGUCAUCCGGUAAGACGACAGUUUCAGGCGGGCAGUUUGACUGGGGCAGUCACCUCCCAAAAGGUAAUGGAGGUGUGCAAAGGUUCCCUCAGGCUGGACGGAAAUCAGCCAGAGAGUGUAAAAGCAAAAGGGAGCUUGACUGCGAGACUGACAUGUCAAGCAGAGACGAAAGUCGGCUUUAGUGAUCCGACGGUGCUGCGUGGAAAGGCCGUCGCUCAACGGAUAAAAGUUACUCUAGGGAUAACAGGCUGAUCUCCCCCAAGAGUUCACAUCGACGGGGAGGUUUGGCACCUCGAUGUCGGCUC